GCCACGGCCUGUUGUAGUACACGAGGCCGCUGUGUACUACAACAGGCCGUGGCUCG
rnacentral:pre_miRNA from 1 species